UUUGUCGACAUAGAAAAAGGAUCGCCAGUGCUCACUAUUCUUCGUAUUCUUCCACUUUCCUCAAUCGUAUCGUCGCCAUUGAAAGCAAAAGAAGCUUGGACACUGAAAAGCCAAAAAAGACCAACGUUUCAUCUACAGCUUAAAAAAUCGUUUUCAAUCCAAAACUUCUCAUUCAAUUCCAAAUCAUUUAACUCAACGCAUCCUUGUUUGCAAGGGUUACUGUACUUACUUGUCAAUGGCUCAUGGGACCUUGCAAAGUAAACACCAUUGAUCUUCCUAAUGGAGAAGCUUGGGAGAAUGGGGUUCUUGUGGAGAAAUGUCAGUAUCUAGAGGAGAGCAAAUGUGUGGGAGUAUGCAUCAAUACUGUAAACUACCAACUCAGGUUUUCUUCUGCAAUCCAACCCAACCAGUUCUUAUUGUUAUGUCUUAAACAAUGUCAUGAAUUUGGAAUCUUUGAUCAACUCCUGAAACUGUAGAAUUGUAUUAGACUCAUCCAGAGGAUGUUCAGAACAUAUCGGCUAACCCGAGACUGAUAUAUCAGUUGAAAACGAGAGCUCAGAAAUGCAGCGUUUGCAAGAUAUAUCACUAGUGGAAAUUACUCAUAUAGUCACGUUUUAGUCACUUAUGUGUGUGACUAUUUUUUGAUUAGUCACAAAAAAGUCUCGAAUAGUCACAAAAUAUGAAAAUAGGAAAUAACGUGACUAAUCGUGUCAUUUCCGUGACAUAAAUAGUCAUGUUUUUGUCAGAAAUGAUUACGUGACUAGAUAUAGACACGUUUUGCCACAAUAAUUUCGUGACUAAUCGGACAUAAUUAAAAACCGUGAUCAGAUGGUGUUACUUUUUUAAAAUAGUCACGAAUUUGACACAUUUUGUUCAUGACUAUUUAAAUCUCUAAACCCUAAGUGAAAUUUUGAAACCCUAAACUCUAA